rnacentral:rRNA from 1 species
CCCUUAGAUGUUCUGGGCAGCACGCGCGCUACAAUGGUCUUCGCAAACGGAUGCAUUCUCGAAGGAGAAUGCCAAUCUUGGAAUCUAUGCCUUGGUCGGGACAGUUGCUUGCAAUUUUUCGACUCGAACCAGGAAUUCCUUGUAAUCGUGAUUCAUCACAUCACGAUGAAUACGUCCCUGCCCUUUGUACACACCGCCCGUCGCUCCUACCGAUCGAAGAGUUAGGUGAAUUGUUUUGAUCGAUAAGAUUUGACUAUGGUCAACUCUCGUUGUGAAAUUCUGUGAAUCUGAGUGUUUAGAGGAAGGAAAAGUCGUAACA